UUUUUCAAAACCCCCGUCCCAUUUCCUCGACAUCCUCUCCGCCCGCACCUCCGGUCAUCUUUUCCUCAACUCCAUCCCACUCCCACUCCCACUCCGUCCUUCCCUCGUUCGCCGCAUCUCCUCCCACGUUCCCCAACACGACUUCUUCUUUUCCGACGUCGAACGCCGCCGCAUCUCCAUUGGAACCGUACUCCGCUUCCUCUCUUCCUCCUCCUCCUUCCCUUCAUUUUGGUCCCGAUCUUGGGGAACUAGGGGGUUUUGAGCGGACCUUGAGUUAGUAAGCUGUGGGGUCUGGAUUGAAGCGUGUUUAAUUGCAGGAAUAAGAAUGACAUUGUUAAGGUUCUAGAAAUUGUCAUUUCUCUGGUGAUUGCUUUCCUGUUGAUUUUGCGCUAUUUGCGUAUGCUUCUGGAGGAGCAGAAAUUUGGCAAAAAUAUUCCUGAUUGGUAAAAGUGAUCCUCUGCAUAUCCCAUCCAAAAGAAGAGAGAAAGUAAAGAAGUCCUGAGAACCAUAGCUCAUCUUCGCCCUUGAACUAGUACAUUUGGUGCGGUAUGUUCUGUUUUUUUGCUAACUGUAGGUGUAUGGAGUUGGAAGAAAUGAACUUUAACUACAGAACUAGGGUGUUUUCCCCUAUGAUUUAUGAAAAAUAACUAAAGUACCAAGGCAUGUAGGAAGCAUCAGACAAAUUUUGAAUGUUUUACUCUAUCCAUAGAACAACUGGAAUAUAAAUAGUAACUGCCACUUUUUUAAUGAUAAAAUAUCUGCUCUUCUCUUCUGUUCACAAUCCUUCCAUCAAUGAUGGCUUCUGCAACUUUUGUCUGCCCUUGCAGGAUCUCUUCUUUCACCUUUACGUGACAUCAGUUUGGAGAAACUGAUCGGUUAUUUAUGGAAUUAUCUAUCAUCAUCACCAUCACCAUCUUCCCCUGAUGAAGCAGAGAAACAACUACUGAAGGAUUCACUGGAAGCAAAACAUAAACAAAACGAGAGGGUUGUGCAUUUGCACAACAAACUCAAAGAUGUUGGUUAUGACAUACAAGACUUGGAAUCAGAGAUGAAGUACAUGGAGCUGGAGAGAAAGGUGCAGGAGAUCAACAUGGCUGAAUUGUUCCUCACCUCCUCACACACAACAUGAUCUGCAACUCUGCUUGGAUCUUCACUAGGAAAAGUUCCGUUGAUUGGUUAUUCAUUGGAGCAUACACAGCCAUAUGAAACAGAGACUUGGAGCCAAAUGGAGCGGUAGCAGGGCUAUGCACAUACAGAUAAUCACUCAUCUUCUUUUCUUCUGCAAUAUUAUAAAAGUUGUGUAUAACUGAAGGAGUCAUAACUGUGUACCCUUGAGUCACCUGCAGAAUCUCUGAGCGAAAAAGACCCCGGAACUCUGAUCGCAAUUUGUAAAGCAAAUGCUUCAAACUCCUCCUCAUUCAUCUCAAUGUCUUUGGCAAAUGCAGGCUUUCUUGGUAGGAUCCAGCCCAGCCCCAGCCCCAGUCCCACCACUUUCUCAGAGGUCCUCCAGCAAAUUCCCAGAAGGAUGGCAUCGACUAGGACCGCCUGAAUGCCCAUGCAGUGGAUGCAGAUGUAAGUGGCUGCACAUUAAUGGAGAAGGAUGAAAGCCUUCUCCUCAACUUUGUUUUUCACAGCUCUUGGACAGGCUGGUUUUAUUAGUCCGUGUGGUGGAUCAUGGAUGGGGUCCCAUGAACCAUUUUCCUUCAUUCAUCUUUCUUUAAUUAAUGUCACCGCAUCUUCUUUUUUGAUUCCAUCUCAA